rnacentral:rRNA from 1 species
AGUCAAUAGAUACCCAGGUAGUCCACGCCGUAAACGAUGAGUACUAGGUGUAGGAGGUAUCGACUCCUUCUGUGCCGCAGUUAACACAAUAAGUACUCCGCCUGGGAAGUACGGUCGCAAGAUUAAAACCUCAAAGGAAUUGACGGGGGUCCCGGCACAAGCAGCGGAGCAUGUGGUUUAAUUCGAAGCAACGCGAAGAACCUUACCUAGACUUGACAUCUCCUGAAUAGUGUAGAGAUACAUGAAGCCCUUCGGGGUCAGGAAGACCAGGUGGUGCAUGGUUGUCGUCAGCUCGUGUCGUGAGAUGUUGGGUUUAAAC